GAAGACAUAUUUUUCGGACCUAACCAACCAGGAUCAGCAUCAAAGUCAUGUAUUUCAAUAUCUUUAUUUAGCCAUAAAUGAAUCUUUUUAUCGUUAUCAUGAUUUAACAAUUUAAGUGCAAGAUGUGCAGCAGUAAUGCCGCUACCAACGAUAUGAUCGGUCUUAUCAUAUACUACUUGAUCAAGUUCUUUCUCGAAGAUAUGAUUUACAUUCUGUUUGUCUUUUAAAAUGU
rnacentral:sRNA from 1 species